AGGCCGCUGGGGGCGCCAGAGAGGCGCAGAGUGCGCGGGGCCGGGGAGAGCGCGGAGUCCAGCAGGCUGAGAGCAGAGCCUGAGUGCGCGGCUGGUUCAGUGGGGCAGGGUCACCUCGCAAGGAUGCUGCACCCCGCCGCCCUGUCCAGCCAGCAACCCGGAGACUGGUGCAACUCCGGAAAGAAGCAAAGGUUCUUUCGCCCAGUCGCCGCUGGAGGACCGAAAGUUUUGCUCGCUGCAAAUCCCUUCCUCCCAAAGUCCCAGUCACCCACCGCGCGACGUCCUGGAAGGAUCCCGGAGGUUUAGUGGGGACGAAAUCGGCUGGUUCGCACCCCUCCAUCCUUAUCUCUCAGGACAGAGCGGGAGCUCUAGCGAGUACACCUCCCACCUACCAUCCGCUUCACCCUGUCUCAUUUCUCGGUGAGCCUUGGAACCCGAUCGCUUAGCAGAUGCCUUCAGGAAGCAGAAGCAAAGGGGAAAUGGACUUAACUCCAAGAAUCAGAUAGUGAAUGUCCACCCUCAGCAAAGGCUUUGCCGCUGUGACCUUCUUUGAUCUCACCCCACCACUACAACGAGGGAGGCCUAAACCUUGUCCACUGGCAGCAUUUGAAGAUCCAGUUGCUGCUAUGGGUUGGAAGGCACCUGUGGAGUGAAAGAGGACAUAGCCACGUAAGUACAGCAUCUUAUUGCUGCCUGGUUAUUUGUAAGCCAUCGUUUUCCUACUCCAAAUCAAGGGCUUCCUGGGGCUUAGGCACAACACUACAGACAGCCCUUAUCCCCAGUUCAUGGAUGAUGAAAUCGAGCCCCUCAGAGACGCUCCUUCCCAUUGUCUCCCCCAGUUCCCUAGACAUCAAACGCCCAGCCAGCGCUCUUUCCGCCAUUCACGUCACAGGCAUUAUAGAUUUCUUACAACAACCUGCCUGGAAAAUGGCUGUGCGGUGGCAUCAGGAAUGUGCAGGCUCUCUAAGGCUCACAGUGGAUUAGACAGACCAGAGAGGGGACGGUGUCACUGAUGACUAUGCAUGAGUCACCAACUCCACUGAGAGUUUUACACUUUGUGAGAACAGGAGUCACUCACCCUGUGACCACACAGAGAGACUGCUCUGUGCAGUACAGAGCGGUCUCCAAGAGCGUGUUUAAGUUGGCCAUUUCCCAAGAACUCUCUCAUACUGGAGAGAUACAAUGCUUUGGGUCACGGAAUAAUAAGAUGGCCUUGGUUCUAAUGUUGCUUGAUUCACCCUACACUGGACUAGGAGGAGACACUGACAUACAUCAGCUUAAUAAAUCUGACACUGAGGAGGGGCAGUGUGUGUGGUUUCAAUUACAGAUUGACCCAGGAUUGAUUGAACUGUCUGCUCUGCUCUGGCAGGGAUGGAGUCCAAGGAUUGGCUGGACUCUUGUGAGAGGUGGGUAUUGAAGCAUCAAUCAGCUGAUGGGCUCCAUGUCGCUUUGUAUCCUGGGAGAAUCAAAUUAUGAGUAAAAUGCCACAGUGACAUGGGAACAAUGACACCAGGAGGAUUAGCUCAGCCUGCCCCAGUGUUCAUUCAUUCCUUGUACCUGCACAGCCCCACCAAAACAAACCUUCCCUGCCCCCUGUCCUGUUCUCACCUUGUUCUUUAUCUUUAGUGUGACCACACCCACAUGUUUAGCCUUGUGUGAAAUUUCAGCAUGCAGGAGACUGAGACAUAAGGAUCACAAGUUCAAGGCCACCCUGUGCUAUGUGUCAAGACCUUGUUUUAAACAAAGGAAAAGGGAAGGAAAAAAAAACAGCAGUACAUAUUUUUCCUAAAUGUAGGACUCUUGGCUCUUCCAGGACCAUGUCUGCCUGCACCCUGCCAUGCUUCCUGCCCUGAUGAUAAUGGACUGAACUUCCGCAACUUGCUGGGGAUUGAACCCACGGCCCCCGCACAUUCCAGGCAAAUGCUCUGCCACCUGGCUACAACUCCAGCUCUUUCUACACUUUUACAGAGUCUUACUAAGUUGCUCAGGGUGACCUUGCACUUGGGAGGCCCAAGCAGGACUUCAGACUAUCAUUCUCCUGCCUUAGCCUCUCCAAGGGCUGGGAUUACAGGUGUGUACCACUAAGUCUGGAGGACUGGGUGAGACCAAGACAGGAUUGCUCUGUGUAGUCCAGGCUGUCCUCAAACUCAGAGAUCUACCUGCCUCUGCCUCCGGAGUGCUGGAGUGCACCACCACCACCUGGCCCAGUUAUAGACUUUUUUUUAAAAAGACCAAAUUUUUAACAAAAGUAAGGUGUGGAAUUGUUAGAAUCUUGUCUGGUACUUUCAAACGCCAGAGCUCCAUUUUCAAAUGUCACAGCCUGGGCAUCAUGGCUAGGUGAGGCUUAGCUUUUGUUCCUAUUUCUAUAAGUCAGUGAAUCUCUCUGAAGGCAUUUGGUCACUUUGCAAGCACACAGAGAAGGCACAUUGUAUACAUUCUGUCUCUCCACUGAAAAGCUGUGUUCUUCCAUUAGGGAGGGCCAGCAAGGAAGCUGGAAAGGGACUUGUCUAGGUUUUAUACAGAGCGAAUCAUGUUGUCCCUUUGAUGCGCUUCAUAGAGGCUAUCAUAUACACUCAAAACAAAAUCCCCACUGGCAAUAACACAUCACAGAUAGCCUCAGCUUACUGUGGCUCUUCAAGCCAGUGGCAUGGCUUCUCUGGGUUCACGUGGCAGAGCAGAGGAGGAUAGGUGGCCCAAUUGCAUGCCCAGUUCCAGACAGGAGUGAUAAGAUUCAAACUUGCUCUGGACUCUGGGGUAAACCAAGUAUGGGCCUCUAAGACCUUGUCUUUGCUCUCAGAGUUUGACAUGAUAAUCCUGCUUGCUCUUUGGACCUCCCUGGCUACAAUAGGCACAGAGAAAGAAGAGAACCCUCCUCCACCUACAAAUCCCCGUAGUAUCCCAUUCUAUCAGCCCCCUUGUUCCUGCAUGGGGAGGGAGUGGAGACCUCAGCUACCAAGCAGAACAGGUAUAAAACCCAGGCCAUUCAGAUCUGGGCAGAGUGAUCCUAGGGAAGGGGCAGAGACUGCAAGUCUGAGAUGCAAAAUACCUGUCCUAGCCUCAGGGAACCCCAAGACUAGGACCAGGGACCAGGAUACUCUGGACAUGGCUGGAUGAGGGAUUAUGGGGGCAAGGGAGGAGCUUAAGACUCACUUUUCUUUUUCUGCUAGCAGGGAGCCAGGUUCUGUAGCAACUGUGGAUAUAGCCAGGACAGAAGGACUUCCUAUGCUCUGGCCCAAUCUCCUUUGAAAGAAAUAGGCUAAUGUCAGUUCUCUACCCAACCCACCCAGCCCACCAACCUACCCCCUCACCUCACCCUGUCCUCCUAUUUGAAAUUAUGGACGAGGAGGGAGUCAUCACACUGCAGCCCAGCCUGCUCUGACUCCCAGACAACAAGAGUGAACUUCAUGUUCUGCAGCGGGGGGGAUAACCCUAAAAGCUGACCCUGGGAGGUGCCCGGCAGCAUGUGGAGUGGCAGCCUCUAAUGAGGAGCUUUCUGUGGUUUCUGAGGGGGUAGAGAAUAGGAAGCCACUUACAUGGAAGGAACUGGAGCCCUGACAUUUUUUUCUCUUUGAGGUUGGAGCUGGGAGGGAAGGCAGAUAGCAGCACCUGCCAUCCACACUCAGUCACAAAGCAUUCGCUGAGCUCUUCUUUAAGGCUGACCCUGCCAGAGGGGAAAUCAGAAGUUCAAAACACAUGUCUCCACCCUGCAAAGGGGUUUCCAGAGCUGCUAGACAUCUCUGGUGGCCUGAAGACAUCAGGCGCAAUCCAUUAACCCUGUGAAUGUUGACUGUUGCGGUUGCACAGCAAAGCCUUUGCAGAGAUGAUCAACUAUGGGUCCCCCGGGUUGGCUCCUGAGACAGUAAAUGUUAUCCUGUGUUACAACAGAAGAGAAAGACUGAGGGGGAUUUUAUAAUGGCACAUGCACAAGGCCAGGGUGAUGAAAAAAUGGUGUACAAAAAGACUUGAAGUUGUGUGUGAGGAGGAGGCAGCCACAAGCACAGAAGCACUGACCGGCAGAAGCAUCUGCAGGGGCAAGGACCGGCUUCUUGUAUACAAACUGUACUGGGCAUGUGGCCUUGAAUUUGGCCUAGUUAAAAGAAAAUUGUUAGACUUCUGACUUCCCAGAACUGUUAGAGAGUAAGUCUAAGUUGCUUUAUGCCUCCAGAUCUGUGAUAAUUUGUUAUAGUAGCCCCAGGGCUAUCCUUGCAGAUGAAGUAGAAGCCUUGGUCUAAAGCCACUUCGGGUAAGUAGAGUUACAUUCACUCUCUUGGGAAUAUAUAUUGAGUGACCCUAAUGGUCCAGACAUAGGAGCUGUGAACAAAGAAAUGGCAUCCUUGAUGACACUGGGAUGGGAGUCAGAAGCAGGUAAUACAUAGAAAGUGUCUUAGUCACUGAUCUAUUCCUGUGAAAAGACACUGUGACCAAGGAAACUCUUAUAACGGAAAGCAUUUAAUUAAGAUCUGGCUUACAGUUAGUCCAUUGUCAUC
rnacentral:sRNA from 1 species